AUGAACAACCACAGUGGCAGUAGCCAACUCUGGAGCCCUGGAUUCAGCUCCUGCAGUAACUACAGAGUUCUUAAUCUGCAGGGGCUUGGAUGCUCAGGUGGCGG
rnacentral:pre_miRNA from 1 species